GUUGCAGUUCCUGGAAUUAAGUUGACUGUGUAGCCUGUGAGGGCAAGGCUUGAAUAAUGCUCCUGAAGUCAGCAACUUGAUUCCAGCAAUUGCGGCCC
rnacentral:pre_miRNA from 15 species